GCGUUAGUGUAGUAGUGGUUAACUGGUCUGCUUCCCAAUUGUAAUGCUUUAGAGUGGUUACAGGUGACAUUGAAAGCAGGAGACGUGGGUUCGAACCCCACCUAACGCA